CCUACGGGAGGCAGCAGUGGGGAAUAUUGGACAAUGGGCGAAAGCCUGAUCCAGCAAUGCCGCGUGAGUGAUGAAGGCCUUAGGGUUGUAAAGCUCUUUUACCAGGGAUGAUAAUGACAGUACCUGGAGAAUAAGCUCCGGCUAACUCCGUGCCAGCAGCCGCGGUAAUACGGAGGGAGCUAGCGUUGUUCGGAAUUACUGGGCGUAAAGCGUACGUAGGCGGUUAUUCAAGUCAGAGGUGAAAGCCUGGAGCUCAACUCCAGAACUGCCUUUGAAACUAGAUAGCUAGAAUCUUGGAGAGGUGAGUGGAAUUCCGGAGUGUAGAGGUGAAAUUCGUAGAUAUUCGGAAGAACACCAGUGGCGAAGGCGACUCACUGGACAAGUAUUGACGCUGAGGUACGAAAGCGUGGGGAGCAAACAGGAUUAGAUACCCUGGUAGUCCACGCCGUAAACGAUGAUAACUAGCUGUUCGGGCUCUACGAGCUUGAGUGGCGCAGCUAACGCAUUAAGUUAUCCGCCUGGGGAGUACGGUCGCAAGAUUAAAACUCAAAGGAAUUGACGG
rnacentral:rRNA from 1 species